CAGGUUGAUUCUGCCUGACGUGGAUGCUAUUCUCUGGGACUAAGCCAUGCAUGUUGAUGAACCUUGUGGGGGAUUGACGGACGGCUCAGUGAUAGUACGAUGAUUUGGUUGGCGGGAGAGCUGUAACUGCGGGAAACUGCAGGUAGGGGGCUAGGAGUGUUUUUGACACGAGCCAAGUAAGUUGUAGGCCUAUCAGCUGGUAGUUAGGGUAAUGGCCUAACUAGGCGGAGACGGGAGACGGGGGAUCGGGGUUUGAUUCCGGAGAGGAGCCUGAGAGAUGGCUACUACGUCCAAGGAUGGCAGCAGGCGCGAAACUUGCCUAAUCCUUUGGGGAGGCGGUUAUGAGAAGUGAGUUUUUUCGAGUGUAAAGGAGUCGAGAUUGAUUGGAGGGCAAGUCGGGUGCCAGCAGCCGCGGUAAUACCUGCUCAAUAGUGUCUAUGGUGAAUGCUGCAGUUAAAAAGUCCGUAGUCUUUUGUAUGUCUUUGUUUGGGGGAUUAUGUCCUGAUGUGGAUGUAAGAGGUUUGGCAGAGGACGAGGGCACCGGAUAGUUGGGCGAGGGUGAAAUACGAAGACCCUGACUGGACGGACAGAAGCGAAGGCUGUGCUCUUGGACUUAUGUGACGAUGAAGGACGAAGGCUAGAGGAUCGAAAUCGAUUAGAUACCGUUUAGUUCUAGCAGUAAACGAUGCCGACUGGACGGGACUAUAUAGUGUUGUGCAUGAGAAAUCUUGAGUAUGUGGGUUCUGGGGAUAGUAUGCUCGCAAGAGUGAAACUUGAAGAGAUUGACGGAAGGACACCACAAGGAGUGGAGUGUGCGGCUUAAUUUGACUCAACGCGGGGCAACUUACCGGUUCUGAAGCGGGCAGGAGAACGAGGACGGGAUGCGCGCGGCGGUGGUGCAUGGCCGUUUGAAAUGGAUGGCGUGAGCUUUGGAUUAAGUUGCGUAAGAUGUGAGACCCUUUGACAGUGCUCUUUGGGGCAAGGGAGAAUGGAACAGAACAGGUCCGUUAUGCCCUGAGAUGAAGCGGGCGGCACGCGCACUACGAUAGAUGGCGAGGAGCCUGCUGUGAGGAUGAAGCUGUGUAAUGGGCUUCUGAACGUGGAAUUCCUAGUAAUAACGAUUGAACAAGUUGUUUUGAAUGGGUCCCUGUCCUUUGUACACACCGCCCGUCGCUAUCUAAGAUGACGCAGUGGACGAAGAUUGGAAGGUCUGAGUCCUUCGUGUUAGAUAAGAUAUAAGUCGUAACAUGGCUGCUGUUGGAGAACCAGCAGCAGGAUCAGUAU
rnacentral:rRNA from 1 species